UGUUCGAGCGUCAUUACACCACUCAAGCCUGGCUUGGUAUUGGGCGUCGCGGUCCUCCGCGCGCCCCAAUGUCGCCGGCCGAGUCGUCUGUCUCCGAGCGUUGUGAAUCUUCAAUUCGCUCCCGGGAUCGGACGCGCGCGCCGUUAAACCUCUUUUUACAGGUUGACCUCGGAUCAGGUAGGGAUACCCGCUGAACUUAA
rnacentral:misc_RNA from 1 species